CACGGGUGAUGUAUGGCUGGAGCUGAUGAGAAACGUGCGGUGGAAUGGAGACCGGCGGCGCGGGCGGCCCACGCGGGGGCAGCGCGGCAUUGAGAUUCCGCAGGGCGCGGGGGGCGGCGCAGGCCCUGACACGGGCCGGGUAAUUGAUCUGGAGGUGCCAAUUUGCAGCAACUAAAUAUUUGGUUUCUGCUUCUGCCUGCUCCUCGCUCUGCUCAAACAAACUUCAAUUAAAAGCGAUAAGCAAGCGUGGGGAGGCAGCGCGCCCGGGUCCCCACGGCCGGAUCGAUGGCACCGAGCCUGCGGGCUGCCGAGCGCCUAGCGGCGGGCGGUAGGCACCUCCUUAUGAGGGCAGGAUCGGCGCCCUCUUUCGGAUCGCCGAGCACUGGGCGCACGGCCCGGGAGAGGCUGCGCCAGAGGGGGCACCUCAGAGAGCCCAGAAGCACCAAACCAUGGUCACAAACAGAACCAGCCCAGACACCUCCGCCCCGAUGUCUGAGCUUGCACACUACAACUGAGGCCUUGGAAGAAGGGCUCCCUGGGCGCUGACCCUGCUCUCCGGAUGCAUCUCAGCAGAGUAACUUUGAAGAUGACCUCAAUUGUGUUCUCUCUGCAUCUUCUUCCAGAAUCCCAGGUUCCUAUUCCCUGCCCACGGCUGCCCAUCUGUCUACCACUGAGUGGGCCAAAGAGCUGCAGGUGAAGCCUUUAAUCCCAGCACUCGGGAUGCAGAGGCAAAAGCCCUGAAGCACAAUACUUCGCCUCAGGAAUCAUCCCCGUGGGCCUUUAGCCUCUGUGUUUCUCUAUGGCUUGGGGCACCAAUCUCCCCGCAAAAAAAGCUGGAUCCAGACAGAGCUCUGCGUGAGGCUGAGGAAGGACCUGCGGCUGAGGACCCGCAGCUGGUGUCCUCAAGAGACUUCCCACCCACCCCCUUCCUGUGCUUCCUGCUCAGGGGUAUGUGUGUGUGAGAGAGUGGGGAUCGGCUGCAGGCUCCCUGCCUUCAGCCGGAAGCCCCUUCCCUGCCCGCACGUCCAUCGGAAGCCUGCUCUCGCUCCGUCCCCCAGCCCCCCUUCCCGGAGGGCUGAGCUGUGGUGGAGCUAAAUGAUUCCCUGUAAUUGGCCGGCAAUCCAGCCGCCCGACUUGUUCUAUCGACAUGCUGGUUAGCUGGAAAUUGUAUUGGAAUCUGAGUGAUGGGGAAGGGAGGGGGUGGAGAGCAAGGAGAGGCGGCUCUGGGUCCCAGCUGGGUGCAGCUUCAGACAACAGCCGCAUCCUCCCUUCCCUGAGGGGAGCAGGACACCACAUCUCAUUACCUUCACUCGGCCUCUCUGGCCAUCUUCAAGGGCCUCUCCUGGCCAUCCAUGCAACCCCCCCUCGCCUGCAGUCAUUUCUGCCGCCCAGUCCUGGAGAUCGAGUGCCUUUGUGAAACAAGGGCCCCUGGGGAAAGACACUAUCCUCCUGUCCAGUUACUCCCAAGCUUUCUCUUGCCCUGCCCCUUGUCCCAUAGGAUAGAGAAGUCAUCUGAAGAGUUGUCAGUUAGGGCAGAUAAAGGUGUCAGUACAUCAUCGUUGGGAAUCCAGAAUGGUGCUCACAGCACUGGGUUGCACCUGCCUCCACCCACCUCUGAAACCCGUGUAAAUUCUGCCCCUACAUCACCCACACCGUUUGCAGAACUGGGAAGAUUUGAAGAUGAUACAGGCUGUGCUUUGGUCAAGUGCAAACCCAUGAUUAACCUUGGGCAAGUUGGACCAGGAGAGGGAAGCAGCUUUAGGGGCUGCCUGCAUCCUUCAACGCUUGCCAAGAAGCAGGCCUUUAUUUGCAACCAGAGAAAACAGAAGAGAGCCAGACAUGAGAGGAGCCUUCUCUAUGAAAGCCAACCUCACUACAGAGGACGCAAGCUUUAAAUGCCACACGUCUAUGGCUGGGGAGCCUGAAGGAGAAUGGAGACGGCUGUCAGCUGCUUGGAAGUACACCCACCCUCCCAAAAGUGUGGUGCAGAACAGAGAGGCCCGGGCUUCGGGCUGUGACGGUGACACUUGAUUCUGUUAUGGCUGUGUUUUCCUUUACUCCUCCCCUGUCUUCUCAGAAGCAUCACAGAUCACACAGGUCCAGUCUCUGUAGGAAGAACUCCAGGCGGCCUCACAAGGUAUAGCUCCUCCUGGUGACUAGCAAGCAGUCUAACAUUCCUCUUCCGUCCCUACAUACAGUUUUUUAAGAGCUUUGUUUUCUGAGCGUUUUUGCCUACAUGUAUGUAAGGGCAUCAGGUGUGUGCUUGGAAGCCAAAAGGAGUCAGAUUCCCCGGGGCUGGAGUUAAGGAUGUAGUGAGUUACCAUGUGGAGGCUGGGUCCUCUGAACAGCAAGUGCUCUUAAAUGCUAAGCGAUCCCUCCAGUCCCCUAACUUUGUUAUUAAGGCACAGAAAAUCCGAGGACUUCACAGGGCCCUCCUGGGCUCAGCUGGUAUCCUCUACAACAGAAUAAAGAACCCAGACAGGGCAGGGAUAUAGCUUAGCUUUCAGAGCACUUGCUAACAUAUGCAAAGCUCUGGGUUCUAUAGUCAUAGCCACUAAAAACAAGACGAGCCAGGGAGACUGAAGUUUACACAGGGAAGCCCAGCCCUGGGGAGGACCUGAUAGGAUGUCUGCAUCCCAGUACCAGGCUCGGGGGAUUCAGGCUGAGCUGAGACACCUGAGGUGAGGGUAAGGCAGCCCUCAGGCACGAGCGAGCCUUUCCGUGUACGAGGAGCCUCCCACACACCAACCCCUUGAGAACCACCUUGUGCUGAAAAUGCCUGCAGACCCAAGGCCCACCUAUGUGUCUGCCACACUUGUGGAUGACAUCUGGGAAGUCUCUGGAAAGCAGACACGCCCUGCAGCCUCAUCCACUCUCACCCGAAGGGACUGUGUGACUCAUUUCUCUGGCAGCUUGAUUCUCCUGUUUGCCAAACCUGAAUUCUGAUUUUCUUCCUGUCCUGGGGGAAUCUGAGAAUGAAGCUCCUUCCUCGGGUGGCUUCUGACAGCUGCCUCCACAGCUCUGUUCUGGGUGCUACCAAUGGAUGAUCUUCAACAAAG